rnacentral:rRNA from 1 species
CAGGAAGCAGCUUGCUGCUUCGCUGACGAGUGGCGGACGGGUGAGUAAUGUCUGGGAAACUGCCUGAUGGAGGGGGAUAACUACUGGAAACGGUAGCUAAUACCGCAUAACGUCGCAAGACCAAAGAGGGGGACCUUCGGGCCUCUUGCCAUCGGAUGUGCCCAGAUGGGAUUAGCUAGUAGGUGGGGUAACGGCUCACCUAGGCGACGAUCCCUAGCUGGUCUGAGAGGAUGACCAGCCACACUGGAACUGAGACACGGUCCAGACUCCUACGGGAGGCAGCAGUGGGGAAUAUUGCACAAUGGGCGCAAGCCUGAUGCAGCCAUGCCCGCGUGUAUGAAGAAGGCCUUCGGGUUGUAAAGUACUUUCAGCGGGGAGGAAGGCGAUAAGGUUUAUAACCUUGUCGAUUGACGUUACCCGCAGAAGAAUCACCGGCUAACUCCGUGCCAGCAGCCGCGGUAAUACUGAUGGUGCAAGCGUUAAUCGGAAUUACUGGGCGU